rnacentral:snoRNA from 1 species
AUCCUUCAGUUCGUGAGCAUGAUGAUGGGUGUUCAUGCGGUAUGCAUGAGCUGUGUGUCCCUCAAACCUUGUUACAAACCCUACUGAGC